UACGUAGGGGGCAAGCGUUGUCCGGAUUUAUUGGGCGUAAAGAGCGUGUAGGCGGUCAGGUAGGUCCGUUGUGAAAACUCGAGGCUCAACCUCGAGACGCCGAUGGAAACCAUCUGACUAGAGUCCGGAAGAGGAGAGUGGAAUUCCUGGUGUGAGCGGUGAAAUGCGCAGAUAUCAGGAAGAACACCCGUGGCUAAGGCGGCUCUCUAGUACGGUACUGACGCUGAGACGCGAAAGCGUGGGGAGCGAACAGG
rnacentral:rRNA from 1 species